AGUGAGGCUUUUGAACUAACUCGUUUGUUCGUUUUGUAGGUUGUUUUUCUUGCUGUUUUUUGCACUUUGUAGGUACAUUUUUCCAUGGAAUUCGGGGGUACUACUUCCCAAUCUUUGGGAAAUGAUGCUAUUGGACCCUUGAUGGCUCAAAUUGAGGCCUUGGGCCGAGACAUGAAGAGUAACCAUGAUGCCUUGGCCCGAAAAAUGGAAGAUAGUCAUGAUGCCUUGUAGAAUGAUAUGGAUGCUAUGAAGGGUCACAUGACUAGAAUAAAAGCAGGGGUAGAUAGACUAUGUCCACCAAACCCUUCACAAGUCCAAAUACCACAAGUCCAAAGAUCCCACACUUCACAAAAUCCAAU
rnacentral:lncRNA from 1 species